rnacentral:rRNA from 1 species
CCUACGUGAGGCAGCAGUGGGGAAUAUUGGGCAAUGGGCGCAAGCCUGACCCAGCAACGCCGCGUGAAGGAAGAAGGCUUUCGGGUUGUAAACUUCUUUUGACAGGGAAGAGCAGAAGACGGUACCUGUCGAAUAAGCCACGGCUAACUACGUGCCAGCAGCCGCGGUAAUACGUAGGUGGCAAGCGUUGUCCGGAUUUACUGGGUGUAAAGGGCGUGUAGCCGGGCUGACAAGUCAGAUGUGAAAUCCGGGGGCUCAACCCCCGAACUGCAUUUGAAACUGUUUUUCUUGAGUACCGGAGAGGUCAUCGGAAUUCCUUGUGUAGCGGUGAAAUGCGUAGAUAUAAGGAAGAACACCAGUGGCGAAGGCGGAUGACUGGACGGCAACUGACGGUGAGGCGCGAAAGCGUGGGGAGCAAACAGGAUUAGAUACCCGGGUAGUC